ensembl:snRNA U2 U2 spliceosomal RNA
UGUCCUCCAUAGGAGGUCUAUAUUGAGCAGAUUUUUUUUGGUAUUGGGUGGUGGAACCGGAGCGUGCUCCAUCCACUCCAUGCAUUGACCUGGUAUUGCAGUGCUUCCAGGACCGGUGC